CCAAUACAUUAGCAGCAGAUCUUUUAAGUCCUGCAAGUUGUGAGGUUGGGCUUCCAGCCUGUUGUUCCAGCACAUCCCAUAGAUGCUCAGUUGGAUUGAAAUCUGAUAAUUUGGAGGCCAAGACAACACCUUGAUCUCUUUGUCAUGUUCCUCAGAUCAUUCCUGAAAACGUUUUGCAGUGUGGCAGGGUGUAUUAUCCUGCUGAAAUAGACCAGUGCUCUCCAAGAACACCACUGCCAUGAAG